GAUGAACGCAGACAGAAUGCUUAACACAUGCAAGUCUUUGGCGAAGCUGUGCUUGCACAGCCUAGCCAAGGCGGACGGGUGAGUAACGCGUAAGGAACUUGCCCUGCAGUCAGGGAUAACAGACGGAAACGACUGAUAAGACCUGGUAAAGUCAGGCGGACUCAUGUCCAGCCUGAUGAAAAGUGAUGCUGCAGGAGAGCCUUGCGUCCUAUUAGCUUGUUGGUGGGGUAACGGCCCACCAAGGCGAUGAUAGGUAGCCGGCCUGAGAGGGUGGACGGCCACAAGGGGACUGAGAUACGGCCCUUACUCCUACGGGAGGCAGCAGUGGGGAAUAUUGGACAAUGGGGGCAACCCUGAUCCAGCAAUUCUGUGUGCACGAUGAAGGUUUUCGGAUUGUAAAGUGCUUUCAGCAGGGAAGAAAAAAAUGACGGUACCUGCAGAAGAAGCGACGGCUAAAUACGUG
rnacentral:rRNA from 1 species